AUUGAACGCUGGCGGCAUGCUUUACACAUGCAAGUCGAACGGGGUGGGGGGCAACCUUCAUUCAGUGGCGAACGGGUGAGUAAUGCAUCGGAACGUACCCUGGAGUGGGGGAUAACGCCGCGAAAGCGGCGCUAAUACCGCAUAUGCUCUGAGGAGGAAAGUGGGGGACCGCAAGGCCUCACGCUCUGGGAGCGGCCGAUGUCCGAUUAGCUAGUUGGUGGGGUAAAGGCUUACCAAGGCGACGAUCGGUAGCUGGUCUGAGAGGAUGAUCAGCCACACUGGGACUGAGACACGGCCCAGACUCCUACGGGAGGCAGCAGUGGGGAAUUUUGGACAAUGGGGGCAACCCUGAUCCAGCCAUGCCGCGUGAGUGAAGAAGGCCUUCGGGUUGUAAAGCUCUUUUGGUCGGGAAGAAAGUGCCCUGCUUAAUACGCGGGGUAUUUGACGGUACCGGCAGAAUAAGCACCGGCUAACUACGUGCCAGCCGCCGCGGUAAAAC
rnacentral:rRNA from 1 species